rnacentral:misc_RNA from 1 species
AUCAAAUUGCUUUUUUCUUUUGUAAAAAUAGUACGUGCAAUAUUUUCCGAUCACCGGCGUUUGUCAACUCACUAAACUCACCGAUGGAUUCUCCGCCGGAAAACGCCGGCAAGGGCCUAAAACCUACUAUCUCCAUAUACACUGAAUACCUUUCGAAUCGAAUUUCCAGUUACUUUCCGGCGGCUUCCUACUCGAAUUUCCUCAGCAGGAUUUCCAAUUUCUACCGUGGCAGCUCCGGCACUAGUAAACGACGUCGUAGAAAGACCUCUCUCCCCCUUCCUUUCCCUUCCUCAGCUGAAUCUG